rnacentral:rRNA from 1 species
GAUCCUGGGUCAGGACGAACGCUGGCGGCGCGCCUAACACAUGCAAGUCGAACGGUGAAGAGGAACUUGCUCCUCGGAUCAGUGGCGGACGGGUGAGUAACACGUGAGCAACCUGGCUCUAAGAGGGGGACAACAGUUGGAAACGACUGCUAAUACCGCAUGAUGUAUCGGGAUGGCAUCUUCCUGAUACCAAAGAUUUUAUCGCUUAGAGAUGGGCUCGCGUCUGAUUAGAUAG